UCCCGGGCACAGCGGUUGUCGGCGGACCGUGUGGAGGUGUUUUCGGGCUGCUGAGAGGGAUCCGGUCGUGCUACGGGAGCAGCCAAAGAGCGGCGGGAAAGGGCUGCCCACCCCAGUGCUGCUUCUGUGUGUGAGGGGAAGGGCCCUGUGGGGAGCUGCUGUAAGGGUUGGCAAAAAAUGCCAGGAAUUGGAAAAAAGAAGUUACAGAGGCAGAAAAAAGUGGGUGUGUAGCUCUGAGAAACAGCUGAGUACUUCAGGACAGCAUAAAAAGGAAAUAUCUUCUGAAUUUCUCACAUCUUGAAGGAAACCAAGUUUUCUACAUUAUACAGCUGGGAUUUGUUGGGAUCAUAUCACAAGGUCAUUUUUAAGGAGAUUCUCACUGACAUUUUUUGAGUUUCUUUUCACAGAACCUAAGCGAUGUGACCACCUGCUGAAUCUCUCUUUUGGUUAGCAUGUAAAGAAUGCUUUGUUUGGAUCAGCUGGGCUUCUUUGACUUCUCAGCACUGAAGACUCAGUAACAGUUUCCUUGUGGCUUUUCUUAAAUCUUUCCAAGGGUUUUCUGGGGAUAAUUUGGGAACCUUUCAAUUCAGGAAAAGAUGGUAAAAUUCAGUUCCUUUUCCACUUAGCUGAUUUGUACUUUCUUACUUUGUUGUAUGAUACUAACAGAGAUAGGUCUAAGCUGCCAUUUCUAAAUACAGUCUGAAUCACGGCAGAAAGAGUUGCAGUGCUACUCUGCCUGUAGAGUUCAAAUUUCCGUAAACUUUGGGGCUUGUCUUUAAUAAUUGGCUAAUGAUGAGCUCAUCUUUACAAUUCUUUCUAUAAUUCCUUGCCCAGAGAGAGCUGUGAUUCUUAGAAAAAUUUUCAGUACACUAAGUCUUAGCUAGCUUUUCUGUCAUAAAGGUUCUAUGUAUCUUCAUGGAAGUUUUGUUUCUUAGUUCUUGUCAUGCAGUUAAAAAGUAGAAGCAGGGAAAGACUACAGCAUGAAAGAAAUUCAAAACCUCUGAUGGGGCAGUAUUUUGCAAAUAGAAGUAAAAGGUUCAUCUAGGAUUCUUACCUGUGUUAGAAGAAUUGAUUAUCUGCAUUAAAUGAUAGGAAUCAUUGUAAUAUGAUUCCAGAGGGCCUUGAGAGACCUCAGAUACAUGAGUUUAUUCUAGUUAAAAGAAAAUGAGAUCUAUUCAACAGCUGUGGGAAACACACUGUCUCAUCCCCAGAAUUUUCCGGCUUGGUUUAAAGCUGUCCUCAUGGGGUGACUCCACACACAAGUUCAUUCUGCCUUGUAGUUUAACUGUUGGCUUUUGACAUAGGUGUUGCAUGACACAGGUGAACUACCUGAUAAUUAUCAGGUCUUGCGUCUCAGAAAUAGGUAUAAAUCAAAAGUAAUCUUUCCUGUCAGUUCCUAAAAGCCACAAGUAUAAAAAGUAGGUGUGAUUGCCAUGCUUUGUCCUUUGCUGCUGCACCUACAGCAUCAAUUUCACCAGCAACUUUCAUCUCCUCCCUUUUAAAAGCUUAUGAUAAAAGGGCUGCUCCCCUUACCAUGUUAGUUGUAAUAUAUCUGCAGCUGUUGUAAAGCAAGAUACUGCAUGAUUUUAUAGAUCUCAAGGUCACAAAUCAGCAAUGACAAAGGCUGUGGAAUUUAUUUCUUAAAAAAGAUGGUUUCUAUAUCCCUCAAGCUAAAUAUAUGUUCCUUUUGCCUGUGGAAAAAAUAAGGCUUUUUAUACUUUUCUGGCCAGGUAAUGGAGUACCAUGCUCCCCUAUCCCUGUUAGAGACUCCAUUCAGUAGAAAACUGUAAUUAACAGGAAGACCAGCUUGUAAAGCUGACCAAUAAAAGGUCUAUCAGCUUUUUUUGAUACACUUUCCUAUUUCAUCUAGCAAAUUUCCAACAACCAAGCUUUCUCUGUCACAGGUUUGGAUUGUGGGGAGACUCUUGAGUGGCUGCUAGAAGAGGUAUGAAAACAUGCUAGUCCAGAUAGGAAGUGCUGACCAGCUCACAGAGCUAUGAUACAUUAGAUGGCACCACACUUGUGGCUACUCCUGGUGUUAUUUUAGAUCCACACCACGAAGCUACUUGCUAUUUGUAUUUUGGUUCAUGUGCACUGUUAGCUCCCCAAGAAGCAUGCCUUGUGUUCCAGCAUGAGAAUUUGAGUCAAUUUUUAAUCUUAUUGACCAAUAUUAAUUCUAGCUCCAUUUUUGUUAGAUUCCAAACUUUAGAUUAUUCGUCAGUAGACUGUCAAUAGCUUGUUGCUCCAAGACAUAACUCAUUUGUACUCUCAGUUCACCAAAGCAGCCUUUUUCAGCAUGCCAGAGACAUGGCUCCAGUUAGUUAGGCAGCUAGAGCUUUCAGUCAAAUCCUAGUUUUUGAGCUUAAGCUUUUUCUCAUAAGCCCCUGAUGAUUUCCAAAUCGACCAAACUAGUUUGCUGGCAACCUUAUUUUAGUUAUAUAAAAAGUGUUUUAGUUCCACUUCUUACUCUGUUCCAUGUACAAACAUUUCAUUCUAAUUCUGCCAAAACUUUGCCACUCUUGUUCUAGUUCCUGUUAAAAAAAAUGCAUAGCUUCCUGGUCUGCAUCCUGUUAGUGCUGACACAGGCUCCUAAUAUCCAGUAUAGAUUCAUCCCCCCAAGGACAGGAAAUGUUCUGCUUUGCUGAUUCAAAUCUGACCAGAAAUAAUGUGGACUAAGAACGUUUCAAGAGAGCAAGUUUAGCUAAGAACAGGAGAGUUAAGAAUGUAACAGUCGCAGUUAUAAACACAAAGGGGAGAAAUAUCAGAACUUGCUUGAAAGUCCUUGAUAAAUGGUAACAGUAAGAGUAAUGAAAAGUAGCCUGAGAAUUUAGCCUAACAUCAGCAUUCUUCUUUGUAUGUUUUUCCUUUCUAAGGUUUUGGGGGUUUUUUUGUUUGUUUGUUGUUUUUUUAAUGUAUUCCGGUCUGUACGACUUGUUAUUUACAUUGGUUUGAGCAUAUACCAAUUUCAAUUGAUAUUAUUUAACAAAGGUUUUACAAGUGUUUUUGCAAUUUAAUGUUACUGAUAAUAACUUGUGUGUGGAGUCGCUCCAUGAGGAUGACAGCUUUAAAUCUGUCAUUUAAGCUGCCAUUUGUGUCAAUUUGUCUAAAUGCUGUAAGAAAGACAACCAAAUCCUCUAAUAAACAGUUAAAACAAUA